AUUCCUUAUUUAGCCUCUUUUUGAAAAAUAUUCCCCAUCUAGCCUCAUUUUCAAAGAUUAGAGAAAAAAAAAGAAAUUAAUUUCUUUAAUAUAUAUUAAGGGGUUAAGUGAAGGAGAUUAUCUUUUUCUCUCUCAUCUCCUAUUAAUUUUUAUAUCAAAAUAAUCUUAAUCCCAUUCGGCCUAUAAAUUUCAUGUUUUAAUGUAUUAAAACCUAAAAUACGAGAAAUCCAAAUAGUUUUUAGAUCAAGAUCAUUAUAAUCAACUCCUUUCGAACCAUGCAUAAUAUUUUUAUCAAAAUAUAAAAAGAUUAGAAUUGGUUGAUGUGCCAUGUGAAAAUUUUCUAUUUUGAAAUAAAUUGAUAUGAGAUAAAUUAUAUACAAAAAUUAGGGAGUGAGAAGGGAUCUCGGGAAAGGAGAGAGAAAAAGGUAAUCUCCCCCACUUAACCCUUUAAUAUAUAUUAAAGAUAUUAAUUUCUCUUUUUUUCUUUAAUCUUUGAAAAUGAGGCUAGAUGCGGAAUAUUUUUCAAAAGAAGGCUAGAUAGGGAAUAUUUUUUUUGUAAAGAGGCUAGAUAGGUAAAUAGUUCUAGGAAUCUAGGCUAAUGGGGUAUUUGGUUCGGCGUAAAAUAAAUGGAAAAAGUAUUGUCGGUACGAAAAUUACUUUUCUGCUUAUUUGGUUCAACGUAAAAUAAUUUUUUCGUGAAAUUAAUUUUAUGAAUUUAGAGAAAAUUUGAAGUUUUCUUUUUCUGUUAUUUUUCUGUGGAAAACAAAAUUCUCCCAAAAGGAAUCACUUAGUCUCUCUUUCUCUUUAUAUUAAUAUACUAUUAUAUGAUUUUUUUUGUAAAUAUAUAUUUAUAUAAUAUAUUAUAUAUAUGUGUUAUUAUAUAUUAUAUUAUAUAUAAUUUUAUAAAUAUAGAUGAUGAUUAUCAUAAUAAUAAUAUAAAUAUAGAUGAUGAUUGAUGAUGAGGAUGGUGAUGAUAAUAUAUAUAGCUGUAAAUUUUAAUUAUAAUAUAUAUAACAUGAUAGUUAUUUAUAUAAAUAAUAUAUAAUAUAUAAUAGAAAAAAAAAUUAUAUAAAAUU
rnacentral:lncRNA from 1 species